rnacentral:rRNA from 1 species
AAUACCGCAUAAUCUGCCUUAGGGCAGGAAAGGUGGCCUCUGAAUAUGCUGCCGCUUAUGGAUGAGCCCGCGUCUGAUUAGCUAGUUGGUGGGGUUAAGGCCUACCCAGGCCACGAUCAGUAACCGGCCUGGGAGGGUGAACGGCCACACUGGGACUGAAACACGGCCCAGACUCCUACGGGAGGCAGCAGUGGGGAAUAUUGCGCAAUGGGGGAAACCCUGACGCAGCGACGCCGCGUGAGCGAAAAAGGCCUUAGGGUUGUAAAGCUCUGUUUUAGGGGACGAAUGUUCAUUCCAGUAAUAUGGGAAUGAAAUGACCGUAC